AAGAAUUGGCUUACAAUCGCCACUUCACACAAUGAACAUAUAACUCAUACAUCAAUCAGAGUACACACAUGGUCCAUGGUCCGACUACGGACGAAGCCAAAAGAAAUGAAGAUAACCCAACUGCUAGAUCCCCGAUCGUCCCAACUGGGCUCCACUACUGAUCAACAAUAAACAAAACAUAGCAACAACUGAGAUCUUCUUUGAGCUCCCAUCUGAGCUCGGUUGCGUCACCUGCACUUGUAUCAUCGGCACCUGCAACUGUUGUGAUAGUAUCUGGUGAGUCACGAGGACUCAGCAAUCUCAAAACCCGCGAGAUCAAGACUAUUUAAGCUUAUGGGAAAGGAAGGGGUAAAGUGGUGAGGUUGCAGCAGCGACUAAGCAUAUAUGGUGGCUGACAUACGCAAAUAAGAGCGAGAAGAGAGCAAGAGGAACGGUCAUGAAGCUAGCAAUGAUCAAGAAGUGAUCCUAAACUCCUACUUACGUCAAACAUAACCCAGAAACUGUGUUCACUUCCCAGACUCCGCCGGAAAGAGACCAUCACGGCUACACACACAGUUGAUGUAUUUUAAAGAGGUCAAGUGUCAAGUUAUCUACAACCGGACAUUAACAAAUUCCCAUCUGCCUCAUAACCGUGGGCAUGGCUUUCGAAAGAUUAUAUACCCUGCAGGGGUGUCCCAACUCAGCCCAUCACAAGCUCUCACCGUCAACGAAGGAAUAGACCUUCUCCCGGGAAGACCCGAUCAGUCUCGGAAUCCCGGUUCGCAAAACAUUUCAACAAUGGUAAAACAAGACCAGCAAAGCCGCUCGAUGUGCCAACAAAUCCCGAUAGGAGCUGCACAUAUCUCGUUCUCAGGGCAACACCGGAUGAGACAUCCUACAAGUAAAACCAACCCUCAAGUUUCCCCGAGGUGGCCCCGCAGUCUACUCAGUUCGGACCAACACUCGAAGGAGCACUGGCCCGAGGGGGGGGGGGUUAAAUAAAGAUGACCCUCGGGCUCGCGAAAACCCAAGGGAAAAGGGCUUAGGUGGCAAAUGGUAAAACCAAGGUUGGGCCUUGCUGGAGGAGUUUUAUUCAAAGCGAACUGUUAAGGGGGUCCCAUAAAUCACCCAACCGUGUAAGGAACGCAAACUCAAGGAACAUAACACCGGUAUACGGAACUAGGGCGGCAAGAGUGGAACAAGUCACCGGGCAUAAGGCCAGGCCUUCCACCCUUUACCAAGUAUAUAAGGUGCAUUAAUGUAAACAGGAGAUAUUGUGAUAUCCCAAAAAAACCCAUGUUCCGACCUGGAACAAACUUCAUCUUCACCUGCAGCUAACAAUGCUAUAAGAGGGGCUGAGCAAAAGCGGUGACAUAGCCAAUCAAUGGUUGCUAGGACAGGAUGGUUAGAGGUUUAUCAUGGCAAUAGGGAGGCAUGGUAAACAAAGGCAGGUAGGGCUAACAUAGCGAAAGAGCGAGUACUAGCAAGCAAAGAUAGUAAUGAUUUCGAAGGUAUGAUCAUCUUGCCUGAAAUCCCGCAAGGAAAAAGAACGAGUCCAUGAAGAAGACAAACAGACGUAGUCGAACGAAUCCUCACAACUCCGGAACAAAACCGAAGCUAACGAGAGAAACAAACCGGAAAGGAGCAAACAAUAUGGUAAACACACAAGCACAUAAGCAUGGCAUGAUGCACAAACAAGUAUGAUGCAUGUCCGGUUUAAAGAGGCAUGGCAUGGCAAUAUGCAACAAACAAUACUACAAAUUAAGUGGAGCUCAAUAUGCAAUGAGUUGCAUAUUGACGGAACACCACAUCAAUUAUUUAGUUCUCUCUUGUUUAAGUUACCAAACAAUAUUAAAUGUUGUUAAGCAUGGCAAGAGGUGAAACAUAAUUAAACUACCUAUCUAGACAAGUUUAAAUGAGGCCGGAAAUAACAAACAUCAAUUCCGGAAAUCCCCAUAUCAUUUAGCAAUUUAAUGCAAACACAGUUUUAACCAUUUAAAUGUUGUUAUCAUGAUGCGAAUGACAUAUACAAGUUUAUGCAAUUUUAUGAAAACGUUGACAAGAGCAGGUUAUGAAGCAUUUGGUCACCAUGGCGGAACAAAAGGGGUGCCACGGCAACGAUAACGAAAAUGGUGCCACGGCAACGAUAGCGAAAAUGGUGCCACGGCAACAUAUCCGAAAAUGGUGCCACGGCAACAUAUCGGUUCCGGUAGCUCACGGAGAUACCGGUGCAAAAGGAAGCGUGCGGAUGAGCGCAACAUGCAAGAUGGUGGGGUGAUCCCGGAUUCCGGGUUCCCACGGGAUGACGACAUGGCAAGCGAGGAGGAACUUGCAAGGUCAAACGGGCACGGUGCAAACAUAGCGUACAUCUCAUACAUGCAAGGGCAUCUCAUCACGGUCGUCUCGGGUUAUACCUUCGAAGCGUG
rnacentral:lncRNA from 1 species